GAUGAACGCUGGCGGCGUGCCUAACACAUGCAAGUCGAACGAUGAAACCGCCCUCGGGCGGACAUGAAGUGGCGAACGGGUGAGUAACACGUGACCAACCUGCCCCUUGCUCCGGGACAACCUUGGGAAACCGAGGCUAAUACCGGAUACUCCUCGCCCCCCUCCUGGGGGGCCCGGGAAAGCCCGGACGGCAAGGGAUGGGGUCGCGGCCCAUUAGGUAGUAGGCGGGGUAACGGCCCACCUAGCCUGCGAUGGGUAGCCGGGUUGAGAGACCGACCGGCCACAUUGGGACUGAGAUACGGCCCAGACUCCUACGGGAGGCAGCAGUGGGGAAUUUUGCGCAAUGGGGGCAACCCUGACGCAGCAACGCCGCGUGCGGGACGGCGGCCUUCGGGUUGUAAACCG
rnacentral:rRNA from 1 species